UACGAAGGGGGCUAGCGUUGCUCGGAAUCACUGGGCGUAAAGCGCACGUAGGCGGCUUUCUAAGUCAGGGGUGAAAUCCUGGAGCUCAACUCCAGAACUGCCUUUGAUACUGAGGAGCUUGGAGUCCGGGAGAGGUGAGUGGAACUGCGAGUGUAGAGGUGAAAUGCGUAGAUAUCUGGAGGAACGCCGGUGGCGAAGGCGGCAUCCUGGACCGGCAUUGACGCUGAGGAGCGAAAGCCAGGGGAGCAAACGGG
rnacentral:rRNA from 1 species